UACGUAUGUCGCAAGCGUUAUCCGGAAUUAUUGGGCAUAAAGGGCAUCUAGGCGGCCCUGUAAGUCUAGGGUGAAAACCUGCGGCUCAACCGCAGGCCUGCCCCGGAAACUACAGGGCUAGAGUAUCGGAGAGGUGGACGGAACUGCACGAGUAGAGGUGAAAUUCGUAGAUAUGUGCAGGAAUGCCGAUGAUGAAGAUAGUUCACUGGACGGUAACUGACGCUGAAGUGCGAAAGCUAGGGGAGCAAAC
rnacentral:rRNA from 1 species